GAUCCUGGCUCGGGAUGAACGCUAGCUACAGGCUUAACACAUGCAAGUUGAGGGGCAGCAUGGUCUUAGCUUGCUAAGGCCGAUGGCGACCGGCGCACGGGUGAGUAACGCGUAUCCAACCUGCCUUACACUCUUGGACAGCCUUCUGAAAGGGAGAUUAAUACAAGAUGUUAUCAUGAGUAAGCUAUUUUCGCAUGAUUAAAGGUUUACCGGUGUAAGAGUGGGGAUGCGUUCCUA
rnacentral:rRNA from 1 species